CGGGUGAGUAACGCGUGGGUAACCUGCCUUAUACAGGGGGAUAACAGUUGGAAACGGCUGCUAAUACCGCAUAAGCGCACGGCAUCGCAUGAUGCAGUGUGAAAAACUCCGGUGGUAUAAGAUGGACCCGCGUUGGAUUAGCUAGUUGGUGAGGUAACGGCCCACCAAGGCGACGAUCCAUAGCCGACCUGAGAGGGUGACCGGCCACAUUGGGACUGAGACACGGCCCAA
rnacentral:rRNA from 1 species